rnacentral:rRNA from 1 species
ACACGACUACAUUAGAUACCCGUGUAGUCCUAGCCGUAAACGAUACUCGCUAGGUGUCGGCCACGGUGCGACCGUUGUCGGUGCCGUAGGGAAGCCGUGAAGCGAGCCACCUGGGAAGUACGGCCGCAAGGCUGAAACUUAAAGGAAUUGGCGGGGAGCACCACAACGGGUGGAGCUUGCGGUUUAAUUGGAUUCAACGCCGGAAAUCUUACCGGGACCGACAGCAACAUGAAGGCCAGGCUGAAGACUCUGCAUGACUAGCUG